rnacentral:rRNA from 1 species
AACGAACGCUGGCGGCAGGCCUAACACAUGCAAGUCGAACGGUGUAGCAAUACAGAGUUGCAGACGGUGGAGUAACGCGUGGGAACCUUCCCAAUGGUGCGGACUAGCCCAGGGAAACUUGUGGUAAUACCGCAUAAGCCCUGAGGAGGAAAGAUUUACAGCAAUUGGAUGGGCCCGCGUGGGAUUAGCUAGUUGGUGAGGUAAUGGCACAACAAGGCAAAGAUUCGUAACUGGGUUGAGAGAAUGACCAGCCACACGUGGGACUGAGACACGCCCCAGACUCCUACGGGAGGCAGCAGUGGGGAAUCUUGGACAAUGGGCGAAAGCCUGAUCCAGCUAUGCCGCGUGAGUGAAGAAGGCCUUAGGGUUGUAAAGCUCUUUUGCCGGGGACGAUAAUGACGGUACCCGGAGAAUAAGUCCCGGCUAACUUCGUGCCAGCAGCCGCCGUAA